CUCUAAGUGGCAAGGUUAAGGGCUUAUGGUCCGAAGCCGAAGCGAAAGCGAGUCUUAAUAGGGCGCAUAGUUGCUUGGAGUAGACCCGAAUCCGGGUGAUCUAUCCAUGGCCAGGGUGAAAUUUCUGUAACAGGAAAUGGAGGCCCCGACCAAUAUCGGUUGAAAACGGUUUGGAUGAGCUGUGGAUAGGGGUGAAAGACCAAUCAAACUCGGUAAUAGCUGGUUCUCCUCGAAAUAGCUUUAGGGCUAGCGUCACGUGGUAGCGCGCGGGGGUAGAGCACUGGAUGGGCUAGGGGUCUCACCCGACUACCGAACCCAACCAAACUCCGAAUACCGUGCGUGGUAUCGUGGCAGUCAGAAUGCGGGGGAUAAGCUCCGUAUUCAAAAGGGAAACAGCCCAGACCGCCAGCUAAGGUCCCUAAAUUACGCUAAGUGUGAAACGAUGUGUGAUUACUUAAACAACCAGGAUGUUGGCUUAGAAGCAGCCAUUCAUUUAAAGAGUGCGUAAUAGCUCACUGGUCUAGUGAUCAUGCGCGGAAAAUGUAACGGGGCUAAGCGUAAUACCGAAGCUGCGGGUUGUGUCCUUCGGGACGCAGCGGUAGAGGAGCAUUCCAUUCAGGAUUGAAGCAUGACCGUAAGGACAUGUGGACCGUAUGGAAGAGUUCAUGCCGGCAUUAGUAACGAUAAGGAAGGUGAGAAUCCUUCCCGCCGAAAGUCCAAGGAUUCCCGGGCCAGGCGAAUCCGCCCGGGGUUAGUCGGACCCUAAGUCGAGGCCGAAAGGCGUAGACGAUGGAAAACAGGCACAAAGAUUCCUGUACCACCACGCAACCGUUUGAGCGAUGGGGUAACGCAGGAGGAUAGGACAGCUGACUAUCGGAUGUCAGUCUAAGCGUGUGGGCCGCAGCCCAGGCAAAUCCGGGCUGCAUUAAGGCUGAGGCGUUAAGGGACGUGGACCUCUUCGGAGCGAAGCGGAUUGUUUGAUUCCACACUGCCAAGAAAAACCUCUAGUGAGGUUGCUGGUGACCGUACCGCAAACCAACACAGGUGGACGAGAUGAGUAUUCUAAGGCGCUCGGGUGAUUCACCCUUAAGGAACUCGACCAAUUAGCCCCGUAUCUUCGGAAGAAGGGGUGCUCUUGGUGGUGAUGGCCCUGCGGCCGGAGCUGCCGGGAGCGACAGUAAAGUGGCUCGGGCGACUGUUUACUAAAAACACAGGUCUCUGCUAAGUCGCAAGACGAUGUAUAGGGACUGACGCCUGCCCAAUGCCGGAAGGUUAACGGGAGGAGUCAAGGCGAAAGCUGGCAGCUCUGAACCGAAGCCCCGGUUAAUGGCGGCCGUAACUAUAACGGUCCUAAGGUAGCGAAAUUCCUUGUCGGGUAAGUUCCGACCUGCACGAAUGGCGUAACGAUCCGAGCAUUGUCUCAAGGGUGAGCCCGGUGAAGUUGUAUUACGAGUGAAGAUGCUCGUUACCCGCAUAAGGACGGCAAGACCCCGUGCACCUUUACUACAGCUUGAUAUUGGAUUUAGUAACCUCUUGUAUAGGAUAGGUGGGAGACGUUGAGACUGGAGCGCUAGCUUCGGUGGAGUCAACCUUGGAAUACCACCCUGGUUGUUAUUGAAUUCUAACUUCGAUCCCGUGAAUCCGGGCGGAGGACAGUGUCUGGUGGGUAGUUUGACUGGGGCGGUCGCCUCCCAAAGUGUAACGGAGGCGCCCCAAGGUUCCCUCAGCAUGUUUGGAAAUCAUGCGUAGAGUGUAAAGGCAUAAGGGAGCUUGACUGCGAGACCUACAAGUCGAGCA
rnacentral:rRNA from 1 species